rnacentral:rRNA from 1 species
ACGUAGGGGGCAAGCGUUGUCCGGAAUUAUUGGGCGUAAAGGGUGCGUAGGCGGCUUGGUAAGUCUGUUGUGAAAGUCCUGCGUUUAAGGCGGGAGUUGCUUUGGAUACUGUCGGGCUUGAGUGCAGGAGAGGUAAGUGGAAUUCCCGGUGUAGCGGUGAGAUGCGUAGAGAUCGGGAGGAACACCAGUGGCGAAGGCGACUUACUGGCAUGAAACUGACGCUGAGGCACGAAAGCGUGGGGAGCAAACAG